GAAUGACACUUACUAAAAGAAGUAAGUUACUAAAAGAACGUUUAUGACUUGUUUAUAGUGUUUAUGACACGUUCAUGACAGUGUCAUGUCACUCUUAUGUAGAUACCUUCAAGUAAAGUGUAACCGAGUUUUGUCAGGGAAUUCCAGCUGAACUUCACGUGAACCAGGGAGCGCCCUGUGCUUCUCCU